rnacentral:lncRNA from 1 species
AAACAGUAGGAUAAAUACACAUGUAGAUAGAGUCCAUUCCAUAAUUUACAAUUCCAAAUUUACAUAAUUUACAAAUGAAGCAACUGUGUUUAGUGAGUCCACCAGAUCAGAGACAGUAGGGAUGACCACGAAUGUUCUCGUGAUAAAUGUGUGCAUUGGACCACUUUCCUGUUCUAUUUAGCAUUCGAAAAUGAAUGUGUACUUUUGGGUGUCAGGGAACAUGUAUGGAGUAAAAAGUAAAUUAUUUUCUUUAGAACUGUAAUGGGGUUAAAGUAAAAGUAGUCAAAAAUAUACAGUACCAGUCAAAACUUGACACACCAACUCAUUCAAGGGUUUUUCUUUAUUUGUACUAUUUUCUACAUUGUAGGAUAAUAGUGAAGGCAUCAACACUAUGAAAUAACACAUAUGGAGUCAUGAAGUAACCAAAAAGUGUUAAAUAAAUCAAAACAUAUUUUAUAUUUGAGAUUCUUCAAAGUAGCCACCCUUUGCCUAGAUGACAGCUUUGCACACUCUUGGCAUUCUCUCAACCAGCUUCAUGAGGUAGUCACCUGGAAUGCAUUUCAAUUAACACGUGUGUCUUGUUAAAAGUUAAUUUGUGGAAUUUCUUUCCAUCUUAAUACGUUUGAGCUAAUCAGCUGUGUUGUUACAAAGUAGGGGUAUCAGGUUUGAAGGUAAGACCCAGAUGCAGACUGUGUCAGAGUAACAAUGUUUAUUACAGCAACAGGGCAGGCAAACGACACGUCAAGGCAGGCAGAUGUCAAUAAUCCAGAGGUGGGCCAAAGGUACAGCACGGCAGGCAGGCUCAGGGUCAGGGGCAAGCAGAGUGGACAGGCAAGGGUCAAAACCAGGAGGGCGAGAAAAAGAGAGACUGGGGAAAAGCAGGAGCUGAGACACAAACGCUAGUUGACUUCACAAACAAGACGAACUGGCAACAGACAAACAGAGAACACCGGUAUAAAUACACAGGGGGGGAAGAUGGGUGACACCUAGAGAGGGUGCAAAUGAUAAGUUCAUUCGAGUUACCAGCCUCAGACAUUGCAGCCCAAAUAAAUGCUUCACAGAGUUCAAGUAACAGACACAUCUCAACAUCAGCUGUUUUGAGGAGACUGCGUGAAUCAGGCCUUCACGGUCGAUUUGCUGCCACUGUAUCUCCCUAUUGUCUCGGCCUUAGGCCUAUAAAAGUAUCAUUGCAGUGUCAAGGCAUAUGAACUAACAGCUUAUAGAGCAAACAAUGCAAUUAUCACAACACAUAGCUUGUAAUAUGGCUUUUUUUUACCUGGCUUGUCUUCCACAGUGAUUUUACCCACGCACUGCUACACUUUUAGAAAGGUAAAAUAUAGGAUAAGGUUGUCAGGAUGGGUAAUGUACUGAAUAAGUACACAAUCAUUACAAAUAAGUACCCUGCAAGAAACACUUCAUUUUAUAGCUAAAUCCUGUGCAACUCAAACAAUUUAACCCAUAUGGUAUGCUUUAUUUUGGGGAUAAGUGAUAGCAACAACAUUGACUGGAGAUAUAUUUUAAACAGUGCACAUUCAUGAGUAAGUAAUUAGAGCCUAUUGAGCAUUGGCUGUAAUCUCUCAGACACCCAGCACAUCCACAAAGGAUCCCAACCUUUGUCACAGUUAAUUAAUUGGAUGAAGCUGAGAAGAAGCAAAACAAUAAAUUGAUGAAUUUAGUGGUAAUUUAGUUGUUACGAGAAUUUGUUGUUACAAUAAUUUGUUGUUACACUUCUUUAGUGACAGCAAUUACUACGUUACAUUUUGUUAUUACACUGUACCUAUGAGUUGUUACAGUUAACCACAAUACUUGUUACAGUGUAAUUACACAUGUUACUACACUGUAACAAGGACCCCUUUAAAAUAAGUGAUACCAAAUGGCCCUUCAACUUGACUCAGAUAAAUGGCCCUUAAACCUUGUCCAGGACAGGAGACCAAUGAUGGAAAGCUACUGAAGUGGACACAGAGUUGCAGUGAAGCUGGCUAGAUAGUUUAAAAACUGUUCAGAGUUUGGUUUGAAUAAAGGACUGUGUUUCUCUUAACUAUUGCUGGUUAGAGUUGGAGCAAUCGUGAUGGUGUGUCCAUUAAAAUACAAAGAGGUUGAAUUUAACAUGUGAUAAAGGGCAGGUGUGAGGAAUUUCCUACAGAUAGCUACAAGUAACUGCUAAAAUAAAUGCAUGGUAUAUUCAAAUGCCAGGCAUGUUACUAAUCAUGUCAUUGCUUCAUUGGAUGGACAUACUAUAGACCAAGUCAAAGUGUUCAAAUAUUUGGGAGUGCGGGCUGAUGACAAGAGGGGCUUCACUUUUCAUGUGGAUAACUUGAAUGAAGCUCAAGCUGAGAAUACGUUUUUAUUACCGGCAUAAGGCUUGUUUUUCUCUGGAGGUUAGGAAGGAGCUGGUACGAUUUACAUUACCGGCGAUUACAGAUUUUAGUGAUGUUAUAUAUAUGCAGGCCUCCACCACUACACUGAGUGUACUUGACUCAGUGUAUCAUGCGGCCCUCAGGUUCAUUAACUAUCAAAAACGUCUAACACAUCAUUGUGAUCUCUACAGAGCCGUUGGCUGGUCGUCAUUGACCUUGCGUAGGAUUAAACACUGGAACAUACUGAUUUAAAAGCCAUCAGGGGUAAAAUGCCACUUUAUUCUUUUUUACUCAGGCCAGUAAAUAAAUAUAAAUGACGGUCCCAUUCUCAUUUGCUUUAACAGUACCAAGAAUUAGAACAGGUCAUGGUAGAAAUAGUUUUAGUUACUCAGCUUCAUGGUCCUGGGACUCUCUCCUGAACAUUUUAAAAUGUGAUGAAGUAGUCACGUUGGUGGAGUUUAAACACUUGAUCGAUGUAAAUAUCAUAGAAGACUGUAAUUGUCUUUAGGACAGUUUUUUUUAGUUAUUAUAUUCGUGUUUUUUUUUACGUAAUAUAUAAUUGUUGUACUGUAUGUGUGUGUAUAGUUUUGUUUAAUGUUGUGCUAGUGUAUGUAAGUUGUUUUGUCUGACCCCCUGCUGCUGUUGGACCAGGUCUUCCUUGAAAAAUAGAUUUUAUCUCAAUGAGAAAAACCUGUAUAAAUAAAGGUUAAAUAAAUAAAAAUAAAUAAAAAGGAAGCACCAACAUAAAGUGUUAUGAAGUGUCUUCAAUGCAUCGGGGCAUAGAUUCUACAAGUGUCAAGGAACAAGUGUGUUUCCCUGCACACAGACACACACAAACAAACGCACACACACUUCCUUAACGUAACAGCUUAAUCAGUUUGGCAGCUCUGAGGACAUGGUAAGCCAUCAAGUACAAGCGCCUCAACCAUGCUUGAAAGUAGCGGGUGGUUUAGUAAUGCUUCCAAUGAAAGACUAAUAACCUAUUUGUCCUUGGAAACAAGAAAUAUCAGUGUUAUCCAUAGAUAUUGUUUGAGUCACAGAAGAAGCUAACAUAUUAAUUGUUAGCUCAAUAGGAAAUUCCUUAUUAUGAAUCACAUCUGCUACAGUAACACAGAGAAAUAAUUUAAACUGGCAAUACUCUUCCCUUCAUUGAACUGAGUUGCUAUUUAUUGAGUCACAGGGACAGUCAGUGGAUUUUAUUCGCAAGGCCACACAAACACAGACAGACAAAUUAUAUUAAUUUUAGUUUGUUGGGGAGUGUUUAAACAAACCAUGAUUUAGUAAUGCCAGUGCUUUUCUUUCCUACAUGGUGGAAUGUGGAUAUUUAAAUCAUAGCAUCCUUUGUGCAGCUGAUUCAUAAGUGUUUAGAAGUAGAGAAUAGUGUUGCAACAUAUCUCCUCCCUCUGAAACUCACUGAAAUUCUAUUACUCCAGAAUUGUUUAUUUAACCUUUAUUUAACUACGUCACGCCCUGAUUGGUUUCACCUGUCUUGGUGAUUGUCUCCACCCACCUCCAGGUGUCUCCUGUGUUUCCACGUUAGUCCCCGGUGUAUUUAUCCCAGUGUUUCCUGUCUCUCUGUGCCAGUUCGUCUUGUUUGCCAAGCAACCAGCUCCUAUUUUUCCCAGUCUGGUUUUUACCGUAGCCCUCCUGGUUUUAACCCUUGCCUGUCCUGACACCGAAACCGCCUGCCUAACCACUCUGCCUGUUCUGACCUCAAGCCUGCCUAUCGCCUGGUACUGUUUGAACUCUCGCCUGUCCCCGACCUGCCUUUUGCCUACCCCCUUUUGGUAUAAUAAAUAUCGGAGCUCAACCAUCUGCCUCCUGUGUCUGCAUUUGGGUCUCGCCUUGUGCCCUUAUGAACUAGGCAAGUCAGUUAAGAACAAAUUCUUAUUUUACAAUGACACCCUACCCCGGCCAAACCCUCAACUAACCCGUACGACACUGGGCCAAUUGUGCGCCGUCCUAUGGGACUCCAAAUCACGGCCGGUUGUGAUACAGCCUGGGAUCGAACCAGAGUCUGUAGUGACGCCUCUAGCACUGAAAUAAAGUGCCUUAGACCGCUGUGCCACUCGGGAGCAAAAGUAGUCUCAGUUGUACCAGUCUGUUGUGCUUUAAAGCCUUUGUCAUUCCAUUCCUUGCCACUGAUUCAGCUGAUAAUCUUUGGAGUGUAAUGUUAGCUAAACAGACUGGCAUCCAGACUAUGACUCCCUGGCACACUGCUACUGAACGUGUGCGUGUGUGUGUGCUCUUCUGAGAGUGGUGACACCCCUUUCAAGUAGUUCAGUGCAGUGACAUGCGGUCUGAAGAGCCAAACCCUGUGAAAAUGUAUGUUCAUUUCUCUACCGUAAGCCACCUCCAUUGUUGUUUUAGAGAAUUUGGCAGUAUGCCCAACAGGCCUCACAUCCACAAACAACUUGUAUGGCGUUGUGUGAGAGAGUGGUUUGCUGAUGUCAACGUUGUAAACAAAGUGCCCUGUGGUGGCGGUGGGGUUAUGGUAUGGGCAGGCAUAAGCGACGGACAACGAACACAAUUGCAUUUUAUUAAGGCACAGAGAUACCGUGACGAGAUCCUGAGGCCCAUUGUGAGACCCAUUUUUUUAAGACAUAUGUCACUUUGUAUAACUGAUUGGAGACAGGCGCAGGAAUAUGUAAUAGGGGGGAUUAAUACUCCACCCAAAAUAUACAAUAUGCCAUGAAAAGGCACAGGGACGAAGCCCAAAACAAACACGUAUACAAAAAUACAGGGAUGUAACCCAAACAAAAGAGUGAGGGUAAACCUCUAAUAAAUACACGGGACACGUAAUAACAAUUGCACAAUACACACAGCUUGAAAGCUGAAACAACAAAGCAUAGGUACUCAGAAGGCCAACAGACAUGGGAACAAUGACCGACCGAGACAAUGUUGAACAGAGGGCAAAUAUAUGCAAUUACUAAUCAGGGGAAAUGAGAACCAGGCGUGCGGAAUGAGACAGUUCAGUGAUGCCUAGAGGCCGGUGAUGUAGAGUUCCAGAACUGGUGCAUGGAAUGAGCAGCAGAACCGGGGGGGAAACCGUUUCUGUGACCAACUGAUACAUAUCUGUAUUCCCAGUCAUGUGAAAUCCAUAGAUUAAGGCCUAAUUUAUUUAUUUCAAUUGACUGCAUUUCUUAUAUGAACUGUAACAGUAAAAUAUUUGAAUUUGUUGCAUGUCUCAUUAAUAUUUUUGUUAGACUAUUACAUGCCUUUGCAGAUUUUUUUUACACUUACCAACCCAUCUAGAGGACCCCACCGUUCUUUUUGCUCAUGGGCUAUGAAGGAAUUUUCAAUUAAACCACUCUACCAUGUUCUGAAGAAGUGAUGGAUAUUGGUUUCUGCCGUACCUGUAUCAGCGAUAGAAUGAAAUUACUGGAACGGCAGUGACAAGACUUGGAUAGUUUCUAUGAGCGAUUUGAUCCGAAGUACAAUGAACUGGGCCUGGCAGAACAUGAAACUCGUAGUAAACAGACAAUUAGAGUAGAGAGGGGGUGAAUCUACUACAUCAUACUGGACAAUAUCAAUGUUCACAUGAGAGCCAGGUUUUGCCACUUUGGUGAACUUGAUUUUCUGCAAAACAAGCGCCUCAAAACAAGCGCCUGCAAAACAAUUAAUAGAAUGUCACAAAAGUUGAACACCAGUAAACAAGAGCCUUUCAAAAUAUGACAUGUACUUAAGGCAGAUUUUUUUUCAUUGUUCAGUUCACAAAUGGUACAACACAAAUCACCUCCUCAGCUUUUUGUUCCAGCAUUACCUGACACAGACUGUCCCUGAGGCGGGGUGGGGCUCAAUAGAAAGUGCCUUCCCAUCCUCAGACCUCAACGCACAUCACUGGUUCAGUCCAUACAGGAUGGAAGGAAGGUGUCUCAUUAUGUGGGAGGGGAGAAGAGGGGAGACGGGUGGGUGAACACUAAUGUUACCAAAUGCAAGAUUUGGCUUGCUUCCCCUCAACUCUGGUAUGUGGUCUUUCGAGUCACUUUCACUGAGCUCAGACCAUAUAAGCAGCAGACAGAAUCUAAAAUGGAGACAAGAGCAACUCGCCAAAGAAAACUGUUGAACUCAGAUAUUCACUGCAACUGAAGAAGAAGACUGCAGCUGGGGUUUACUGGUAUAACUUCUGAUACAACAGCCACACUGCAGCAACAGUCUACAUAGUCUGUACUCUGUACUGUAUUGUACUAUACUGUACUUAAAGAAAAUUAUAUGUAAACACUCUCCAAAAUAUAUAUUUCAAUGAUUAAUUUAAUUUAAACAUCUCUGUCCCCCCACUCUUUUUCUUUCUCAUCCCCUCUUCUCUCUCUCUUUCUCUCUCACUCAGUGUCACACUGAAAACUGAAGGUUCGCUCUGUCUCUACCCAAAUGGGAACUUUGCCAAAACACUGAUUGAAAGGCAAACCAAAGCGUGAGUUUAUGGAUGUAUUUUAUUGCACAGGCUAUUUUAUUCAAUUUAGUUGUUUGAAUGAACUAUUCAAAUGUAAAUAUAUAUACAUAUAUUUAAAUGUGUAUAUAAUUUUAUUUAAAAUGUACUGCAUCUAUGUGUUCAAUAUAGAUCAUGGGCCAUUUACAGGUAACUCCCAAAAUAAAGGAAACACUUGAGUAAAUGAGGUUUACAAAGAAUAUUGAAAGCUGGUGCUUCCACACAGGUGUGGCUCCUGAGCAAUUCAUAAGCAAUUAACAUUCCAUCAUAAUUAGGGUAAUGUAUAAAAAAGCUGGGCAGGUCCAGUUGCCCAUUAUUUUGUCUGUCAAGGUUAUGCCCCCUUAGGAUAACAAUGCCCCUAUCCAUAGAGCACAACUGGUCACUGAAUGGUUUGAUGAGAAUGAAAAUGAAGUAAACCAUAUGCAAUGGCCGUAUGUUGCAUCCCUCCAAUAGAGUUUCAGACACUUGUGGAAUUUAUCUCAAGGCGCGUUGAAGCUGUUCUGGCUCGUGGUGGUCCAACACCCAAUUAAGAGAAAAAAAUGUUGUUGUUUCCUUUAUUUUGUCAUUUACCUGUAUUUUCCCUGAAUUAAAUAUGAUUUGAAGCUUAACAGUGUAGGUUACAGUAUCGACUUGUCCAUAAAUACAGUAAAGUCGCAAGUUUACAUACACCUUAGCCAAAUACAUUUAAACUCCGUUUUCACAAUUCCUGACAUUUAAUCCUAGCAAAAAUUCCCUGUCUUAGGUCAGUUAGGAUAACUACUUUAUUUUAAGAAUGUGAAAUGUCAAAAUAACAGUAGAGAGAAUGAUUUAUUUCAGUUUUUAUUUCUUUCAUCACAUUCCCAGUGGGUCAGAAGUUUACAUACACUCAAUUAGAAUUUGGAAGUAUUGCCUUUAAAUUGUUUAACUUAGGUCAAACGUUUCGGGUAAACUUCCACAAGCUUCCCACAAUAAGUUGGGUGAAUUUUGGCCCAUUCCUCCUGACAGAGCUUUUGUAACUGUGUCAGGUUUGUAGGUGUCCUUGCUCGCACACGCUUUUUCAGUCCUGCCUAAAACUUUCCUAUAAGUUUGAGGUCAGGGCUUUGUGAUGGCCACUCCAAUACUUUGACUUUGUUGUCCACAAGCCAUUUUGCCAUAACUUUCGAAGUAUGCUUGGGGUCAUUGUCCAUUUGGAAGACCCAUUUGCGACCAAGCUUUAACUUCCUGACUGAUGUCUUUAGAUGUUGCUUCAAUAUAUCCACAUAAUUCUCCAUCCUCAUGAUGCAGAAAAGAACCCCCACAACAUGAUGCUGCCACCCCCAUGCUUCACGGUUGGGAUGGUGUUCUUUGGCUUGCAAGCCUCCCCCUUUUUACUCCAAAAAUAACAAUGGUCAUUAUGGCCAAACAGUUCUAUUUUUGUUUCAUUAGACCAGAGGACAUUUCUCCAAAAAGUAUGAUCUUUGUCCCCAUGUGCAGUUGCAAACCGUAGUAUGGCUUUUUUUCUGGCAGUUUUGGAGCAGUGGCUUCUUCCUUGCUGAGCGGCUUUUCAGGUUAUGUCGAUAUAGGACUCAUUUUACUGUGGAUAUAGAUACUUUUGUACCUGUAUCCUCCAGCAUCUUCACAAGGUUCUUUGCUGUUGUUCUGGGAUUGAUUUGCACUUUUUGCACCAAAGUACGUUCAUCUCUAGGAGACAGAACACAUCUCCUUCCUGAGCGGUAUGACGGCUGCGUGGUCCCAUGGUGUUUAUACUUGCGUACGAUUGUUUGUACAGAUGAACGUUGUACCUUCAGGCGUUUGGAAAUUGCUCCCAAAGAGGAGGUCUACAAUCAUUUUUCUGAGGUCAUUUUUUUUAGGCUGAUUUCUUUUGAUUUUCCCAUGAUGUCAAGCAGAGGCACUGAGUUUGAAGGUAGGCCUUGAAAUACAUCCACAGAUACACCUCCAAUUGACUCAAAGGAUGUCAAUUAGCCUAUCAGAAGCUUCUAAAGCCAUGACAUAAUUUUCUGGAAUUUUCCAAGCUGGUUAAAGGCACAGUCAACUUAGUGUAUGUAAACUUCUGACUCACUGGAAUUGUGAUACAGUGGAUUAUAAGUGUAAUAAUCUGUCUGUAAACGAUUGUUGGAAAAAUUACUUGAGUCAUGCACAAAAUAGAUGUCCUAACCGACUUGCCAAAACUAUAGUUUGUUAACAAAACAUUUGGGGAGUGGUUGACUCCAACCUAAGUGUAUGUAAACUUCCGACUUCAACUCUAUAUUCUUCCAUAAAGUUUAACAGAGUACACAAUUUAUUCAGCCAAAAAUAUAUUCUUCCAUAAAGCUUAAACUCCCUGGGCAAGGUGGGACGCUUGCCUGGACUAGUCAACAGCCAGUGGAAUCUCGUGGCGCGAAAUACAAAUACCUCAUAAAUGCUAUAACUUCAAUUUCUCAAACA